rnacentral:rRNA from 1 species
GACGAACGCUGGCGGCGUGCCUAAUACAUGCAAGUAGAACGCUGAAGAGAGGAGCUUGCUCUUCUUGGAUGAGUUGCGAACGGGUGAGUAACGCGUAGGUAACCUGCCUUGUAGCGGGGGAUAACUAUUGGAAACGAUAGCUAAUACCGCAUAACAAUGGAUGACACAUGUCAUUUAUUUGAAAGGGGCAAUUGCUCCACUACAAGAUGGACCUGCGUUGUAUUAGCUAGUGGGUGAGGUAACGGCUCACCUAGGCGACGAUACAUAGCCGACCUGAGAGGGUGAUCGGCCACACUGGGACUGAGACACGGCCCAGACUCCUACGGGAGGCAGCAGUAGGGAAUCUUCGGCAAUGGGGGCAACCCUGACCGGGCAACGCCGCGUGAGUGAAGAAGGUCUUCGGAUCGUAAAGCUCUGUUGUAAGUCAAGAACGAGUGUGAGAGUGGAAAGUUCACACUGUGACGGUAGCUUACCAGAAAGGGACGGCUAACUACGUGCCAGCAGCCGCGGUAAUACGUAGGUCCCGAGCGUUGUCCGGAUUUAUUGGGCGUAAAGCGAGCGCAGGCGGUUUGAUAAGUCUGAAGUUAAAGGCUGUGGCUCAACCAUAGUUCGCUUUGGAAACUGUCAAACUUGAGUGCAGAAGGGGAGAGUGGAAUUCCAUGUGUAGCGGUGAAAUGCGUAGAUAUAUGGAGGAACACCGGUGGCGAAAGCGGCUCUCUGGUCUGUAACUGACGCUGAGGCUCGAAAGCGUGGGGAGCGAACAGGAUUAGAUACCCUGGUAGUCCACGCCGUAAACGAUGAGUGCUAGGUGUUGGAUCCUUUCCGGGAUUCAGUGCCGCAGCUAACGCAUUAAGCACUCCGCCUGGGGAGUACGACCGCAAGGUUGAAACUCAAAGGAAUUGACGGGGGCCCGCACAAGCGGUGGAGCAUGUGGUUUAAUUCGAAGCAACGCGAAGAACCUUACCAGGUCUUGACAUCCCGAUGCUAUUUCUAGAGAUAGAAAGUUACUUCGGUACAUCGGUGACAGGUGGUGCAUGGUUGUCGUCAGCUCGUGUCGUGAGAUGUUGGGUUAAGUCCCGCAACGAGCGCAACCCCUAUUGUUAGUUGCCAUCAUUCAGUUGGGCACUCUAGCGAGACUGCCGGUAAUAAACCGGAGGAAGGUGGGGAUGACGUCAAAUCAUCAUGCCCCUUAUGACCUGGGCUACACACGUGCUACAAUGGUUGGUACAACGAGUUGCGAGUCGGUGACGGCAAGCUAAUCUCUUAAAGCCAAUCUCAGUUCGGAUUGUAGGCUGCAACUCGCCUACAUGAAGUCGGAAUCGCUAGUAAUCGCGGAUCAGCACGCCGCGGUGAAUACGUUCCCGGGCCU